UUUUUAUUUAUUAUUAUUAUUAUUAUUUAUUUCUUUUAGAUCCUUUAAUUCAUUUUUUUUAACAAAACAUUAAAUUUUUUUAAUUUUUUUUUGUACAUUUUAUUUCUUGAUUUUUUUAUUUUUUUUCCUUUUAAUAUCCUUUGAUUUAUUUGGAAUGUUCACAAAUAAUAUGCCAAAAUGGUAUAAAAAAAGAAAAAAAAAGACUCAAAGGGUAUUAAUAAAAUAAUAAAAAUAAAAUUAAAGGGUAUUAAAAAAAAUAAAAAAAAUAAAAAAAAUAAAAGUGUACAAAAAAAAAAAAAAAAAUUAAUAAAAAGGUGAUUCAUUUUUGUUUUAAACAAAUUAAUUAAGGGUAUUAAACAAAUAAUAAUAAAAAAUAAAUAAAAAAAACUAGACAAAGUUAUCUAAAGAAAAAAAAUAACAAAAAAUAACAAAAAGGGAAUUCAUUUUUGUUAAAUUAAAAUUAAUCAAAGGGGAUUAAAAGAAAAAAUUAAUAAUAAAAAAUAAAAUAAACGGGUACAAAAAAAAAAGAAUUUUAUUUUUAUUAAAAAUAUGAAUUAUAAGGUAUUAAAAAAAAUUAUAAUAAAAAUAAAAAUAAAAAAAGGGUACAAAAAAGAGGGAGGAGAGAGAGAGAGAGAUAAGGGAGACGAGAGGAUGGAUGAGAGAGAGGGGGCAUUUUGGUCAUUUCAUAAGGAGACAAGGGAGAAAAAGUGGUCAGGAUAGUUUUCAAACUCAGGGGAGGUAAUGUAAUUUUUAAACUCAGGAGUGUUUUGUGUAUUAAAGACAAAUCUCAUGGGGAGGUCAGUAAUUAUCCUGUUAAAAAAAAUAUAUAUGUUAUUCAUUUAUUUUAAAAUAAAUAUAUCUGAAUCAUGUGACUACUAAUACUCGAUCAAUUAAUUUUUUUAAUUAUAUAUCUAAUUAAAAUUAUACAAAAAUAAGUUUGGCCCAUUCAAAUAAAACGAUGGGGUGGGGUGGGGUGGGGUGGGGUGGGCGUGCGGGGGGGGGUUCACUUUGUGGGCAGUUCUGGGACAUCAAAAAUAUAUGAUAUGAAUUCCACUUGAUAAAUUUAAUUAUUAUAACGCGUUAAGAAGAUAAUUUAUGCAAAAUAAUAUUAUAUUGCAUAUCUCUUUGAUUUCUCUUUGAUGGAAGAAUCGGGAAAAUAUAUUUUUUUAUCAAGAGCUGGUACUAAAAUCUAAAUUAAUUCAAAUGAUCCUUCUAACUACGAAAAUUCAAACAAUUCUCCUGGAAUAAUUAUUUGGAUUAGAUUGAAUUGAAAAAAGAUAAUUAUUUUUUUAAUUCUUAAAAUCAAGAACGAAAAGUAAAAAAAAAAUUAACUAAGACAGAUAAAAUAUUCACUUGAAGAUCGAAUUUGUAGUCCAAUUUAUUCUAGAGAGAGAGAGAGCUUAACUACAGUGAUUAGAUAAAACCUUGUUUCGUUAGGGACUAAUUUUGCCUGGGGAGAGAGGGAGGGAGAGGGGCCGAGCCCGCCCUUGACCUGCUUCAGCUUUGUGAGCUGACCUUCCCCAGAUCCUAUCCCAAACAUGACCUCCUCCACCGCCGCCGCCGCCGCCGUCCUCCUCCUCCUCCUCACCUCCGCGCUCCUCCCACCCACCGCUAUCUCCGCCCCGAUACCGGGACUCGACGCCUUCCUGGCCCAGCAAGCCCGCCUUGACCCACAAGCCACCAACGACUCCUUUCUCUCUCUCUCCUCCUCCCUCAAGAAAUCCCUCUCAUUCUCUUCCUCGUCCGCCGCCCCCUAACCUGCUCUCCCUUCCGCC
rnacentral:lncRNA from 1 species